CUCGGGCUGCGCGGGCUCUCGGCGGCCGCGGGGCAGCAGCAUCCUCCUUCUCCUCCUCCUCGCUUCCUUUUCUUUCCUUCCGCUUCUUUCGGUUAUCCUCCUCCUUUUCCUCCUUCCCCUGCCCCGUCUCCCUUUCUUCUCCGGAGGGCACCGUCCUCAGGUCCGUGAGCGCAGGCAGCUGCCACCGUGGGUGCAUCCAGACCAGACUUUAUUGAUCUGAUCCAAGGUAUUUUGGGACUGCUGGCUGGAAUUAAGAUUCUUCACCUUGUUGUCUCUCACCGAAGAAACAUUGAUUGGGAACUACUCAUUCAGAAAAUUAAAAGAAAGAAGCCAGAACAUAUUAUUAGCCCUUUGAGAAUACAACAUAACGAAUUUUACCAUUUUACUGCUUCCUUGAGUAGGUAAGAA
rnacentral:lncRNA from 1 species